CCUACGGGGGGCUGCAGUGGGGAAUAUUGGACAAUGGGGGGAACCCUGAUCCAGCCAUGCCGCGUGUGUGAAGAAGGCCCUCGGGUUGUAAAGCACUUUCAGUGAGGAAGAACGCCUGGUGGUUAAUACCCAUCAGGAAAGACAUCACUCACAGAAGAAGCACCGGCUAACUCCGUGCCAGCAGCCGCGGUAAUACGGAGGGUGCGAGCGUUAAUCGGAAUUACUGGGCGUAAAGCGCGCGUAGGUGGCUCGAUAAGCCGGUUGUGAAAGCCCCGGGCUCAACCUGGGAACGGCAUCCGGAACUGUCAAGCUAGAGUGCAGGAGAGGAAGGUAGAAUUCCCGGUGUAGCGGUGAAAUGCGUAGAGAUCGGGAGGAAUACCAGUGGCGAAGGCGGCCUUCUGGACUGACACUGACACUGAGGUGCGAAAGCGUGGGUAGCAAACAGGAUUAGAUACCCUUGUAGUC
rnacentral:rRNA from 1 species